AUUUGAAAUGAUGUACAAAAAAAACAUUUUUAAUGAUUUUUUUUUUCAGGAAAAUGUUAAAUGUCUCGCAGGCUUUGGUUUUCAAAAUAAAGCCAAGACUGAGUAGAAAUAGGACUGAUGUUGGACCCUUGAAACGGAAGAGUGAAGAUUGAUGCUGCAGAAAAUUGAAGAGAAAGGAAUAUUGCAGAAAAUUUAAAAAUAAAAAAUAAAAUAAAAAUG